rnacentral:tRNA from 1 species
GGUGAGGUGUCCGAGCGGUUGAAGGAGCACGCCUGGAAAGCGUGUAUACGGUCACCCCGUAUCGAGGGUUCGAAUCCCUCCCUCACCG